rnacentral:lncRNA from 1 species
CACGUUACAACUCUCAUAUCAAUAGCACACAACUCAAAAAACCGUCUUCUUUUUUAAAAAAUUAAUAAUUUAGUAUUUAUAUCAAUAAUUUUUAAAACAUUGGAUAGACAUAUAUAAUAAAAAAAAUUAAAGUAUGCUAAUGCCAAAAACCAUAUAUAUUUUUUAGGGAAAACGUCAAAUACCUCUGUGGUUUUAUAUUUUCUCACUUUAGUAUCCUAUGCUUUAAAGUGUAUCAAGUUAGUACUCUGUGGUUUCGCACCUUCUCACUUUAGUACCCUGUGGUUUCAAGUAUAUCAAGUUAGUACUCUGUGGUUUCGAACUUUCUCACUUUAGUACUCUGUGGUUUAAUAUUUUGUUAAAUUAUAUAUCCCUAAAUGGAUAAUAAAAGAAAAAAAUUGAAACCAUAGGGUACUAACUUGAUACAAAAAUGAAACCACAGAGUACUAACUUGAUACAUUUGAAACUAUAGGGUACUAAAGUGAGAAAGUGCGAAACCACAGGAUACUAACUUGAUACACUUAAAACUACAGAAUACUAAAGUGAGAAAGUGAGAAACCACGUGGGGUAUUUGAAGUUUUCCCUUUUUUUUUAUAUAUAAUAACACAUA